GAAAGGGAAAGCUUCUUGCAGCUUGAAAGGGUCGUUUUAUUUUAUCUUCCCUACGAGCCAUUUGGGUACGGAAAGGAAAUUCCUAGAAGCUAGAAAGGGUCGUUUUCUCGUUUCUUCUUCACUCUUCUUCUCUAACGCAGCACAACGAACGAGAGGCUGCUGCAUCAGCCCCAUUACUUGGGCUCUGCUCAUCAGAACCAAAAUUUUUGGUAUAAGUAUUUGAAUUUGGAAGACAUGGAUAACAUACAAGAUAUCACACAAGGGAUACAGGAAAUGAAAUUUGAAGUGAUCGCACGCUCUUUUCCUGAGGAAAUCAUACAACAUAUCCUAAUUAGGCUACCUGUUAAAUUUCUGAUCAAAUGCACUUCAGUUUGCAAGACAUGGAGGUCCAUGAUCAUAAACCAAAGCUUUAUCCGCGCCCACCUCAGCACAACAGUGGACUUUGCUAACCAGAAUGAUGUUGACCUCCUCCUACUCCACAGAAUUUCUGGUAGCAGCAGCCGCAACAACUACCAAAACACGUUCAUUCACAAGGUAGAAGACGAGGUUCACUCUGUGCAUCAUGAUAACCAGGCGUUUGAUGAGUACUCCAAGAUCGAAUUUCCAAUUGCUGCAAAGAAAAA